UCCUCAAGGAAAUGGCAACCCACUCCAGUACUCUUGCCUGGAGAAUCCCAUGGACGGAGGAGCCUCGGCGGCUACAGUCCACGGGGUCGCAAAGAGUCGGACACAACUGAGCGACUUCACUCACUCAAGAUUUUUAAUAAGGAUCACAACCGACGGGCAGGCUGGAGGCGGAGAUGCAGGAGCAAACGACAUCAGAAAGGUCAGAGCAGCUCUGUUUGUUUUUCCAAACUGUCAGAGUAAAGUUACAACGUGCCACCUGGGUAAGCCACUAGCAAAGUCCCCGGAUGACGUCCACUGUAACCGCAGGGAUUUCUCACAGUGGGGAUUGCUAGAAGAAGAAUUUGCUUGGGGGAAGGGAGCUGCCAGAAACCAGCCCCAGCGAAGCACCGGGAUGGCUCAAUGCUUGACAUGACAACGGUCUUAUUUUUAAUCCUCAACCAGACCCUCUGAGGUAGGUAUUACUAUUCCCAGAAUAAUAAUGGGGUGGGGGGUGGUGCAGUGAUUCGCCCCCUGGUGUUUCCCUUCUCAGAUACUCCAGUAUCAGGUCAUUUCUGCUUCUCUUUUUGGUUUUCAGUGCCAUCAGCAUAAUCUCUGUCAGAGGGUGGGAGUUUUACAUUUGCAAUUCUAGAUUUUUCUUUCUGCUGGGUUUCCGGCAGCCCACUGCUGUUUUUCACAUCUCUUAACUGCACAUCAAAUGAAUCAAGCCCUGGAACUAGUCCUAAGGUGUUUCCUGGGGAAGGGGAGGGGGGUGGUCCCUGGGGGAUCUCUCUCUUUGCAGUUUAAGAUUUUGAAAGGCAUAACUUUGUGGUCAGGGGCGAGCAAGUUCUCUGAGUCAGCUUUUUCAGUUCAAACCCCCACUUUCUUCCCUCCCGAGUCACUGCUCUGGGUGCUUGGGGGCUCCAACCUGCUUCCUGACAGUCAUCCUUCCCAAACCUGACUGUGCGAUGAAGCACCUGCUGGGUUUUCCAAAAAUGAGGAUUUCUCAGGCUGGGCUUCUAUCUUACAGGCACAGACUCUGAUGGCAAGAGUCCCCUCUCUCGAGCCUCAGCCAUCAGAAAGAGCUACGGACAAAGGAAAAUGCACACUAAUUUAAGACUCAUUCUGAUUACUGACCAAGCCCCAUCUCUGUAGGUGCCACCUGUGCUGAGACCACCUCCCUCCACCAUUCUGCAACUCCCAGCCUCCUCCGCGCACAGUGACGUCAUUUCCUGGUACGUUUGCUGUCAGCUUCUCCCACCAGGAGGGCAGGCCGACCCUCUUCAUGGGCACAGCGCCUGGGGGUGCCCGCACCGCUCAGUGACUCGGGAUUACAGAGUUUUACUUCUGGAUGGUUCUCCAGUCUGCCUACGGUCACACCAAAACUACGCAGCUCCUUCUGAGCCAGGCAGUGGGCACCCAGCAUGGAUCUUAGUUCCCUGACCAGGGAUUGAAUCCGAGCCCCCUGCGUUGGAAGCCUGGCCUUAACCACUGGACCACCAGGGAAGUCCCUUGUCCGCAUUCUUUCUAGGAUUGGGUAUGAUCAGACUUUUAAAUGCUCUGCCGAAGAUUUCUCUUGAAAGGGGAAUAUGCAGAUGAAGAUGUUUUCAGACUAUAUCACACCUUUAAAUGUUUUUUUAAGUACUGUUACUAGAUUUUGACAUUGUUCUCACCCCAGACCUCAGCUCAAAUGUCCCCCCUC
ensembl:lncRNA